AUAGUUAAAGCAAGUUGGCCCCUGGUUUCAAUGGUUGAUGUAGUGAAUCCUACUGCUAGUUUCCUGUCAUUUAGCUGUAACCACAGGCUUAUAUCCCAACACCUGGACCCAACUAGUGCAGAUCUUGGUGCUUCAUCCAAUCAUUAAUGCUGAGCAGACAGGAAAGAGUUGAAGGCAAGGUUUUGGGAUAUAAUUGUCAAGACACUGGAAUCAAGAUGAAUGGAAGCUGAAAUAAUCUGGAAAGCAGAAUGGGUGGCAGUUAAAGGAACCUGGAGAAGUGACUGGCCAAGCAGAAGCAAGGGACUGAGAGAGAUGAUGGUUGCCUUCCGGUGGUUGUUUGAAAUGGGUUUUCUGGACCGUUAUGAAAGAAUCAUGGCCACCAAAAUUCCCUCAUCUAAUCUACCUGAGAGAUACCUAUGGUGGCUCUCAAUUGGCUCUCAAGUUGAAUUCCAUUUCCUGAUCCUGGGUGGAGCAUACAACCUGUUUGUCCUAUCAUCUGGCGACGCACAUUUGUUAAUGUCAAGCUUUGGAAAGCAGCUCUAUUGAAGUAUGAUUGAUAUACAAGGAAUUGCACAUAUUUAAUGUGUACAAUUUUAUGAGUUUGGACAUAGGCAAACACCUAUGAUACCAUCACCACAAUCAAGGGCAACCCAAAUGGAGACCAUAGUCCCCAGCCUCCUUUGCAGCCAUGUAUGGCCACUCAACUAAACUCUUGCUAAUAAAAUAGAAGCACAAGCAAUGUUUGCUCGAUCUGGACUUCCUCUGUUUCCUCUUCACACGUGCUGGAAGCCAAAUGAGGCAGCGGAGAACGCUGGGCAGAGGAGGGCUGCAUGCUAGGGGAUGGCACAGCACCAACGGGGAAGGAUAUCUUGAUGUCAUUGAGCCAUGUCUCUAAUCUACAUGUCGAAUUUGCAUGAGAAAGAAAUACACUUCUGUAUUGUAGCCAAUGUAUGUUUUUAUCUUUGUUGUGGAAGACAAUCUUUAUCCUAACUAAGCCAGAUAGGGUUUUUUUGUUGUUGUUGUCCUUGAUUAAUCAUUUUUAGUAUGCUUUCAACUUAUAAAUGGAAUAUGGAAUAAAUAUUUUAUUAUUUUCAUGAUAAAAAUGCUUUAUAUUUCUGUAGGGUAUUUCUUUUAUCAGGAUCUUUCUCCAUAUUCUGCUCUAUGAUAGUUACAACAAUCCUGUGGUGGCAGUUAAGAUGAUUCAUUAUCCCUAUUAUACAAGGAAGGAAACAAGUUGAUUCGCAAUUGGACCUUGAUCUUUCCAAAUUAUCUCAGGAACUUGUACAAGUUCAGAGGAAAUGUAGAUUGAUGACUAUAUAUUAAUGUCAAUGAAAAAUAUUUUAUUAAAUUAAAACCCACGAUUUUAAUAAGGUAUCUCACUCUUUUGUAGAACUUAAUAAAUAUAGCUUUUUAAAACUGCAUUCAUUUAACUAAUUUAUCUCUUUAAUAAAAUAAAAAUAUAUUAAUUAGUGCAUUUUCAAAUUAAAUGUCUGAAAUAUUAAGAAAUCUUACAUUUACUUUCUUUUUCUAUUUAUAAAUGUAGCAAAUUUGGAAAAUAUAAAGGAGAUGUUAAAAAUUACUCAUAGUCCUAAAUAAUUCAAAUUAAACACUAUUAAUCUUCAUCAAAAUUAUUUUAGUAAUUUCAUGGAUAUCCAUGUUUUCAUGAAUUUAUGAACGAAUUUUUAAAUGACAUAUUUUAUACUUGCUUAUUGUAAAACUAAGUAACAGAGGAAAGAAAAAUCUGAAAAUUAUGUGUAACUACAAGACUCAGAGAUAACUACUGUUAAUAUAUGUGUAUACUUAUUUACAAAAAUAAAAAAUGCUGUUUUAAACAUUUUCACUUAAUGAUAAUGGCUAACAUUCAAGAUCCCCAUUAGGGCCAGGCGCUGCACUACAAAUGUUCCACCCAUUUACCUUGUUUAACAUUCAGAAGAAGCCUGUAAGGUAAGUGCUAUAAUUAUCACCAUCUUUACACAAGGAGGAACUGAGGCUUGGGUAUGUUAAACAACUUAGGAAUCAUAAUGAAGGUAUGAAAGUAUCAAAUAGUGUCACAGGUUGUCUGUAUGCAAAACCUGCACUCCAGACAUUUUGCUAUGCUAUUUGAAUGUCAAGAAACAUGACGCUGCAAUGUAUCCCAUCCUAUGCAUAUGCCACAAGUGUCCCAAUCAAUCUUUUACUUCUGGCUAUAUAAGUUGUUUCCUAAUAUUAACAGCAUGUAUUUGUUGUUAAACCUUC
ensembl:lncRNA